ACACAAAUCACCGUAGGAUCUUGUUAAGAUGUAGAUUUUGAUUCAGGGUGGGACCUGAGAUCCUGCAUUUCUAACAAGCUGCCAAGUGAUACUGGU
rnacentral:pre_miRNA from 1 species